AUUGAACGCUGGCGGCAGGCCUAACACAUGCAAGUCGAACGAGUGGCGGACGGGUGAGUAAUGUCUGGGAAACUGCCCGAUGGAGGGGGAUAACUACUGGAAACGGUAGCUAAUACCGCAUACCAUCGGAUGUGCCCAGAUGGGAUUAGCUAGUAGGUGGGGUAAUGGCUCACCUAGGCGACGAUCCCUAGCUGGUCUGAGAGGAUGACCAGGCACACUGGAACUGAGAAACGGGCCAGAAGCCGAAGGGAGGCAGAAGUGGGGAAUAUUGCACAAUGGGCGCAAGCCUGAUGCAGCCAGGCCGCGUGGAUGAAGAAGGCCUGCGGGUUGGAAAGUACUUUCAGCGAGGAGGCGUUACUCGCAGAAGAAGCACCGGCUAACUCCGUGCCAGCCGCCGCGGUAAUAC
rnacentral:rRNA from 1 species